UACGUAGGUGGCAAGCGUUGUCCGGAAUUAUUGGGCGUAAAGCGCGCGCAGGCGGCCUCUUAAGUCUGAUGUGAAAGCCCCCCGGCUCAACCGGGGGAGGGCCAUUGGAAACUGGGAGGCUUGAGUAUAGGAGAGAAGAGUGGAAUUCCACGUGUAGCGGUGAAAUGCGUAGAGAUGUGGAGGAACACCAGUGGCGAAGGCGACUCUUUGGCCUAUAACUGACGCUGGGGCGCGAAAGCGUGGGGAGCAAACAGGG
rnacentral:rRNA from 1 species